rnacentral:rRNA from 1 species
UACGUAGGGGGCUAGCGUUGUCCGGAAUCAUUGGGCGUAAAGAGCGUGUAGGCGGCCCGGUAAGUCCGCUGUGAAAGUCGGGGGGCUCAACCCUCGAAUGCCGGUGGAUACUGUCGGGCUAGAGUGCGGAAGAGGCGAGUGGAAUUCCUGGUGUAGCGGUGAAAUGCGCAGAUAUCAGGAGGAACACCGAUUGCGAAGGCAGCUCGCUGGGACGUAACUGACGCUGAGAACGCGAAAGCGUGGGGAGCAAACAGG